rnacentral:tRNA from 1 species
GGGAUUAACAAAUGAACUGCUAAGUCAUUCAAAACCGAGGCCAACUCCUCGGGAGUCUC